GCUCAGGACGAACGCUGGCGGCGUGCCUUAAUACAUCCAAGUCGAGCGGACUGAUGGGAGCUUGCUCCCCUGAUGUUAGCGGCGGACGGGUGAGUAACACGUGGGCAACCUACCUGUAAGACUGGGAUAACUUCCGGGAAACCGGGGCUAAUACCGGAUAACCCGUUCCUCCUCAUGGAGGGACGGUAAAAGAUGGCUUCUUGCUAUCACUUACAGAUGGGCCCGCGGCGCAUUAGCUAGUUGGUAAGGUAAUGGCUUACCAAGGCGACGAUGCGUAGCCGACCUGAGAGGGUGAUCGGCCACACUGGGACUGAGACACGGCCCAGACUCCUACGGGAGGCAGCAGUAGGGAAUCUUCCGCAAUGGACGAAAGUCUGACGGAGCAACGCCGCGUGAGUGAUGAAGGUUUUCGGAUCGUAAAGCUCUGUUGUUAGGGAAGAACAAGUGCCGUUCGAAUAGGCGCACCUUGACGGACCAAC
rnacentral:rRNA from 1 species